rnacentral:lncRNA from 1 species
AUGUCCAUGGGGAGGCUCAGGACAGAGCCGCACAUCCCUGCAUGGGGCCAGAUCCUGCACAGCCCGCAGGCUGAGCACGGCUCCAGCAGGCACUCAGAGAGGAGGUCAUGCCCUGCUCAACGUGGGCUGGGCAUCGAAGAUCCUUUCAAUGCAGAUGUGUCCCCAUCACGAGCUCAAAGAUGCUCAGAAACCAGCAUCUGGGCUCCACCACGGGAAGUUUGGACCAGCUGCUGCAGUGACAAGAGGAAAACAAGGACUGUCAGGCCGAACACCAGGAGGACAUUUCCAAAUGUCAUCUUAGACACUUAUGUGGAAGUCACCGUGUUGUUGUGAGCAGUGCUACCAGUAGUAAAAGAAGCUAUAUGCAGAGAGAGAAGAACAGCUGAACUAUGAAAUUUACAGUAAUGACUUUACUUCCACAAAAGAAAUAUGCAGUCUAUCCAAGUAGGUUAAUACAUGGUGCAUUCGAUCAAACAGAGCAAUGCUUAGUGGGGUAAAAUGUGCUGAGCCCUUGAUCUUGUCUCUGUAAAAGCCCUCAUGGAAAGGGCAGAGGAUAAAAAGGGAUGAGGAGGAAUGUGAAGACAUCUCUCAAGGGACAGGCAAGCACCCAAUCCCCCACCUUGGGGAUUGGAGAUUGCUAAUAUGUCACUGCUCUGAGGUUCGUGGAGUGAAUGAAGAACGGGCUGAGGCACCAGCUGCAGCAGGAAGGAUGAGGUCUUUUGAGGAGAUGGACAUUCAGUUAAGAGGUGGAUUCUAUAGUGAACUUAGUAGGCAGGAGCAUGAGCCGUGCUAGCCAUCAGAGCUCACAGCUCAGCAUGUUAACUUGUGCUGUCAUUGAUUUGGGGUUAAAUUGGCACACCGGACUGUGACCUACAGCACCCAAAGCACUUCCAGGUGCUUCCUUCUGCUGUCUGUGUCAUGGGAAGGGCCAAGUGUUUGACAGAGGGACGUGGCGGAGAGCAGGGAGACAAAAACCUCUGAAAUCAACCCAUCUUGAAUGGUCAAGUGUACCUCAGGGCUCCCCAUAUUUCCAUGUGCUCAGGAAAGGGGAAUAUUUCACCAUGAUCUGCAGGAAAAAAAAAAAAAAAAAAAAAAAGCUUCAUGUCUUUAUUUUGGCCCGUGUUGGCUGAAGCCUCCCAUAAACCACUAAUUGCAACUGCUAAGAGGGAACUGGCAGGCAUGGAACUUGCCGAGAUUACACAGAUUACUAUUUUAUGGAUAGAAAUACAAUUUUCAAACUGACUGUGAGGCUGAGAGCUGGUGGCAUACAGACAAAACUGUAGUGUAACAGAGCCCAAAGACAGACAUUUUUCAUAGCAGUUUGACUUAAAAAUAAUUUUAAAAGAAAAGAAAAGCGAAUGGACUAUUGUCUCAGACAAAGUGCAAACCAUGAUUUCUAGAGAAAGAGCCCAGGAUGAGAACAUAAACAGAUUUAUACAGAUUUUUCAUAACAGUUUGUCAGGCGUGGCAAAAUGACAGGCCAACUCCAGCAAAAGGACUUCACAUUUGGGACAUAUGAAGAAAGGACCACUCAGAGUGAGAGACAUGAUUGUGCUGGUGACAGAAGACUGCAUGUUUUUCCUGAACUGAUAUUCUCACUUCAGCGAGAGCCUUACUUGGUAAAUGGAUGAUUCCUCUACACCAGAGUUAUGCCAGUGGAGAGGAUGGUCUUGACAGACAAUGAAUGGGCAGAGUUUUGAGCAGCUCACAGUGAUACCCAUGUUUGCAUCCCAUCCCUGCUAGACUUUUUUUCAACUUGCAGGUAGGAAAUUGCUUUAAAAUGAUAGAUACGCAUUGACAAGGAAUGCAGAAUCAGGUCUGGCUGAUACUUGACAGCAUUACAUUACAGGAUGGCACCUAUGAAGUACAGCUAGCCACCUGCAGAUGUUUUAUUUUGGAGAAAAUGAAGCAAGCAGGCUGCUUGGGACGUUAGUUAGGCUCUGUAGCCCGAGGAACUGAGGGUUUGCAGAAGUGCACAGACAUCUAACUAAACACAAAACAGCACUAUGAUUGCGGUCCCAGGGGUUACCACCACUUCCUGAACACAACAAGAAUUCACACAUACAAUGAAAAUCAGAAGCCAGAAACAGCAGUUAUGUCACAUAAAGUUGUUCCACAAUCCCAAGAGUGCAGGGUGUGUCUAACCAGACAGACGUACUUGGAAGAAGAAUAUGCGGCACCUUCUUCAGCAGCUGGGCGGAGAGGAGAUAACGGAUGCUGGGCUUAUCUUUUUGCCUGGGACAACUUCAUUUGCCAGCAAAUGCGGCAGGUAAGGCAACCAAAUGCCAGGAUAUAAUGUUCCCAGGAAAUACUGACUCUUAUUUCCCGUUAGGACUGUUUGGCUGAUGCCAUGCUGGAUAUGAGUUGCAGAGCAGAGCUCCUCAGAAGUUAUUCAAACACUGUUAAUUGUUUGGCUGUAAGGAUCAGAGGUUGCAUGCUAUAGAAAUGAUACUUCCAUGUUUUGGCUGAGGAAGGAAGAUAGAUCUUGGGAACUGUGUCUUUAAGCAGCUUAGUUUUGGAGACAGGAAGUCUGGAAGUGGGCUGCAGCAGUGCAGAUUUUAUUAUGCAAUUUCUUUUGGAACUAGUCCCUGAACAAAGGGGCUAUCCAUUAAGCACCUGCUUCACGGUGGCUCCUGAGCACCACCAGUGAAGUCCUCAGGAAUCUAUGCAAGUGCUUAAUUGUUGGCUGGGCAAGCGGGGAGCUGGGAUCUGUGACUGGGAACACUGGGUGUGAGUUUGGAGUACGAGGCUCAUUCGCUUGCUACGCAGUACCUUCUCACAAAAUCCUCCUAUUUGCCUGAGCUCAUUCUGUGUUUGGCAUUUUCAGUGGGUGUUAUUACAAAGAGCAUGGUACCCCGAGCUCUGCAGUACUGUUUGGGCAGCCUUUUGGGCAAGCUGUCAUAGCUCUAUUUAUAGGGGUGGUGGAUAAGAGUCAAGUUCUUCCCCUCACUCCUGCCAUGAAGUCCAUGCUGUUCUGAUCCCAUGGCAGGAGGCAGCUGGGGCCACCCUAAGGAGACCUCGACAAGGAGAAGCUGCAAGACAGCAUCAAUAGGAUCCUCCUCCUGCUUUACUGCCCCACGGUAUAGGAUUCUCUCCCUCCAAAGCACCUCCUUCCUCUCCCACUCCCCAGGACUCAAAGCCCCGUUUUGAUUUUGCUUAUGUGGCAGGCCUGGUUUGGCCUGACACUUGCUGUAAAGGUAAAGGAGCUCUCCCAGCUUGUGGGAGAGGAUUCAUGGCCUGCUUCCACCUGCUUCCCAUCCCCAUUCCCAGUACUGAGAGCACAGUGUUGCCCUAGAAGGCACAAGCUGCUGUUAGAGUUGUGGUGGUGCGUCUGGGCUUUGUGUGUUGUAGCUGUACAGUCAGAGCUGCAGUAUUGGUAUAACGCCAGCACAUUGUCUGUAUUCAGGCAGCAUAAACACCUUCCUAGAGAAAAGCUGUAGAUCCACCCAGGUUCUGUCCCCAUCAGUAGAUCCCCAUCCUGACUUCACACCAGAGCUGUAGAGUCAUUGCAGCAGUAUAGAAGGGGGCAAAACACUGUGGGUAUCUCCUGGGGUUAGCUGCUCCAGUGAAUCCUUCGUUUUCAAGACCACAAGUGAUGUAAUGGGCAAAGCAAAGGCAGUAAGUUAUGCUAGCUGCAGUUCAAAAUGUCCAGACCAUACUUUUUUAAAAAGUUCAGGUAGCAGAUAGCAAAGGGCACUGCUGUCUUCUGUUGUGCCUGACAGACAGACAAUCUGACCUGAUUUCCAUCCAUCCACCUCCAAAAACAAAGCCUUGUCCCUUAGCCUAAACCGGGGCACUUGCCUUACAUUACAGUGAAACACUACUGGACAGAAGCUGUUGCAGAUCCUUGUUACAGUGUUUUAGAUGCCCUAUUUGCCUAAGGGAAGUACUGUUCCUCCGUGUGUUGCCCUCAUUUUUAAAAUGAUGGACAAGUAGACAUUGUUGUGCUCCUAAACUUGAAACAGACAGGUGGUAGCUUAGCAAAGACCAGAAGCCAAGGGCUAGUGGCCUGUUGUGCCCACCAGCUUCUACUGCUUCUGCAGCAGCGGUGUUUCGGUAGCAAGUACCUCACUGACUGACCUUGAGCCUUCCACCCAAAGGAGUGGUGUCUCUGGUGCAAGACCCAGUUCAGAAUCAGAGCAUUCGCAUCUGGAGCCGCUGUGAAACACUAAGCCCCGUCCCACCCUGACCUAUCUGAAAGCAUACGGAAACACUGCUUUCGAAGGAAAUGUCUGAAUGGCAGGCACAACCAGGGAACACUACCUGUGUAAUAAUGAGUAAUGUAGUGGUGGAAGCAGAGGCCUGUAAGAGACCUCCUGUGCGUGAUUACAGUCAGACCUCAGCACGGACAGGCACCAUGUAAAUAAAUAUUGAAUUUGCAAGUAAAUGUAAUGAAAUGCAUGUAAAUGUCAAAGUAAAUGUAAUGAAUACAAGUUUAGCAGUAAACAAAAGAGAGACUUGCCCCUUGCAAAAGGUGUCAUUAUAGAUCUCCUUUAAACCAAUGCAAAGUUGCUGAUUGAUCCAUCUCAGCUUGUGGAUUUCAUCGGCAUUGUCCCAGCGCCCUUCUCCAGUCUGGCCUCCAGUAAUUUCUGCUCUUUGGGGACAUGUCGACAUAUUGGGGAUGAAAACAGCCCCGAGCAACUAGUUUGGGUACAAGGUGAUCUGCUACUGCCUUGGUGUGCCACGUCACCAGGGCUUAUACGACCUGCUUCUCAAGUUGGGAACCAGUAUGGAAAUCCACUGAAGCAUAUGAGCUCCAGUCCUAUAAACCUGUUUCAGCCAGGAAAGUCUGUCUAGACAGAGUGCAGGCGUUUUUAAAGGCAGGAGCCCCAGCCGCCGCCUGGCGCCGCCGCCCGCUGGGGCCCCCGGUGCCUGAGCGCUGCCCCGGUGUGCGGCUGUGCCAGCCAGCAGCAUGGGGACAGGCGGCCCUGGGGGACCGGGGGACACUGGGCCUGCUGGAAGCUGGACCCUCAGCGGGUCCGCAGCGGCCUCUUGCAGGCUGUGGUGCCCAGGCUUGGGUGCUGGGGGCAGGAGUUUUGGCAGGGGACGUGUGGAGCAUCCCCAAGUCCUGUGGCGUGAGGGGGCAGAGGAUGAGGAC